GUCUUUGCGAUGAACCUGCUCCUCUAGAGAAUGGCUACAGUAUAGGAGAUGAAUUUUGGGAAGGAAAAAAUGUCACCUUUAAGUGCAACAAAGGAUACCAGCUUAGAGGACCACACGUCAGGAUUUGUAAAGAGAAUGGAAACUGGAUAGAAGAAGGACCAACAUGUGAAGGUCCGGAGUUUGAGCACUCAGAAAUCCUCCUGAACAAAACUGAAUACUGGGAGCUGCUCAAAGGUUGGCUGGGUCCUGUGUCUACUCUGCCAGCCAAGUGGAAACUAUGCUACAGAGCUACUGAUCAUGGAUGGAGCUCCAGUACAUUCCAUUCACAGUGCAACAGCUUAGGACCAACGGUGACGUUUAUUAGAGUGAGAGAAUACAUUUUUGGUGGAUACACAGACAGGAACUGGCACUCGGGUGGCUCUUAGUUAGAUUCGACCUAUAGCUUCAUAUUCUCUUUUAAAAACCAUUAUGGACUGGAGCCAUUUAAACUUCAUGUGAGGAAGAGUAAGUAUGCCAUAUACGGCAAGAUCGGUUACGGCCCAACCUUCGGUGGACACGACAUUUAUAUCGCAAAGUCUGCAGGCUACAACACGAAUUGCUACAUCUACUUGGGACAUUCAUAUGUGUCGCCGGCUGGGUACAAAUACGGUGCGAGUGACACCACAAACCUGUUUGCAGGAAGUUACAAUUUCCAGCCCCAUGAGGUGGAAGUGUUUUAUCAGACUCACAAAGGCUGAUAUUUUUUCACGCAGCAAGGCUUUGAUGAUUUUUGGAAAGAAAUCCUCUGACGGUAAAGUACAAAUGG